AGUGAACGCUGGCGGCAGGCCUAAUACAUGCAAGUCGAACGGCAGCACAGCAGAGCUUGCUCUGUGGGUGGCGAGUGGCGGACGGGUGAGGAAUACGUGGGAAUCUGCCCAGUCGUGGGGGAUAACGUAGGGAAACUUACGCUAAUACCGCAUGCGCCCUUCGGGGGAAAGCCGGGGACCUUCGGGCCUGGCGCGAUUGGAUGAGCCCACGUCGGAUUAGCUAGUUGGCGGGGUAAAGGCCCACCAAGGCGACGAUCCGUAGCUGGUCUGAGAGGAUGAUCAGCCACACUGGAACUGAGACACGGUCCAGACUCCUACGGGAGGCAGCAGUAGGGAAUAUUGGACAAUGGGCGCAAGCCUGAUCCAGCCAUGCCGCGU
rnacentral:rRNA from 1 species